CAUGGGCAGGUUGAAGGUUGGGUAACACUAACUGGAGGACCGAACCGACUAAUGUUGAAAAAUUAGCGGAUGACCUGUGGCUGGGGGUGAAAGGCCAAUCAAACCGGGAGAUAGCUGGUUCUCCCCGAAAGCUAUUUAGGUAGCGCCUCGUGAAUUCAUCUCCGGGGGUAGAGCACUGUUUCGGCUAGGGGGCCAUCCCGGCUUACCAACCCGAUGCAAACUGCGAAUACCGGAGAAUGUUAUCACGGGAGACACACGGCGGGUGCUAACGUCCGUCGUGAAGAGGGAAACAACCCAGACCGCCAGCUAAGGUCCCAAAGUCAUGGUUAAGUGGGAAACGAUGUGGGAAGGCCCAGACAGCCAGGAUGUUGGCUUAGAAGCAGCCAUCAUUUAAAGAAAGCGUAAUAGCUCACUGGUCGAGUCGGCCUGCGCGGAAGAUGUAACGGGGCUAAACCAUGCACCGAAGCUGCGGCAGCGA
rnacentral:rRNA from 1 species